CCCUUAGAUGUCAUGGGCCGCACGCGCGUUACACUGAUGCAUUCAACGAGCUUAUAACCUUGGCCGAGAGGCCUGGGCAAUCUUGUUAACGUGCAUCGUGAUAGGGAUAGAUUAUUGAAAUUAUUAAUCUUGAACGAGGAAUUCCUAGUAAACGCAGAUCAUCAGUCUGCAUUGAUUACGUCCCUGCCCUUUGUACACACCGCCCGUCGCACCUACCGAUUGAAUGUUUCGGUGAAGAUUCCGGAUAGGACUUUUUUGAUUUAUUUCAAUUUUGUCUUAAAAGCUAUCUAAACCUCAACAUUUAGAGGAAGGUGAAGUCGUAACA
rnacentral:rRNA from 1 species